rnacentral:tRNA from 1 species
GUACCUAUAGCUUAAUGGAUAGAGCAUUGGCCUCCGGAGCCAAAGAUUUGAGUUCGAUUCUCAAUAGGUACG